UACAGAGGGUGCGAGCGUUGUCCGGAAUCACUGGGCGUAAAGGGCGCGUAGGCGGCCACGACAAGUCAGUUGUGAAAUCUCUGGGCUUAACUCAGAACGGUCAACUGAUACUGUCGGGCUAGAGUGCAGAAGGGGCAACUGGAAUUCUCGGUGUAGCGGUGAAAUGCGUAGAUAUCGAGAGGAACACCUGCGGCGAAGGCGGGUUGCUGGGCUGACACUGACGCUGAGGCGCGAAAGCUAGGGGAGCGAACGGG
rnacentral:rRNA from 1 species